rnacentral:rRNA from 1 species
UGAACGCUAGCUACAGGCUUAACACAUGCAAGUCAGGGGCAGCGGGAUUGAAGCUUGCUUCAAUUGCCGGCGACCGGCGCACGGGUGAGUAACGCGUAUCCAACUUCCGUACACUCAGGGAUAGCCUUUCGAAAGAAAGAUUAAUACCUGAUGGUAUGAUGAGAUUGCAUGAUAGCAUCAUUAAAGAUUUAUCGGUGUACGAUGGGGAUGCGUUCCAUUAGGUAGUAGGCGGGGUAACGGCCCACCUAGCCUACGAUGGAUAGGGGUUCUGAGAGGAAGGCCCCCCACAUUGGAACUGAGACACGGUCCAAACUCCUACGGGAGGCAGCAGUGAGGAAUAUUGGUCAAUGGACGAGAGUCUGAACCAGCCAAGUAGCGUGCAGGAUGACGGCCCUAUGGGUUGUAAACUGCUUUUAUAAGGGAAUAAAGUGGGAGUCGUGACUCUUUUUGCAUGUACCUUAUGAAUAAGGACCGGCUAAUUCCGUG